GAUGAACGCCGGCGGCGUGCUUAAUACAUGCAAGUCGAACGAAGCACCUUGGACAGAAUCCUUCGGGAGGAAGACCAUUGUGACUGAGUGGCGGACGGGUGAGUAACGCGUGGGUAACCUGCCUUGUACAGGGGGAUAACAGUUGGAAACGACUGCUAAUACCGCAUAAGCGCACAGUACCGCAUGGUACGGUGUGAAAAACUCCGGUGGUACAAGAUGGACCCGCGUCUGAUUAGCUGGUUGGUGAGGUAACGGCCCACCAAGGCGACGAUCAGUAGCCGACUUGGGAGAGUGAUCGGCCACAUUGGGACUGAGACACGGCCCAAACCCCUACGGGAGGCAGCAGUAGGGAAUAUUGCACAAUGGGGGAAACCCUGAUGCAGCGACGCCGCGUGAAGGAAGAAGUAUUUCGGUAUGUAAACUUCUAUCAGCAAGGAAGAAAAUGACGGUACUUGACUAAGAAGCCCCGGCUAAAUACGUGCCAGCAGCCGCCGUAAAAC
rnacentral:rRNA from 1 species